UUGAGCUAUGACAACGGAAUUCCUUGAUAAUGGAAGUUCUAUUUCUGGUACUUUCUCACUUUCUCACCAUGGAGUUGCUGACACCCUAUUCUACUGGCAUUUGUAUGGUGUAUGUGUUCGAUUAUCAGUCAAGCUUAAGGAUCGACGUGCAGAUGCUAUCUCCAUUCGUUGUAUAAAAGCUCAGGUGGCAGAGCACCCCACUGGAUCUCAGCGCUCCGAACCAUUGACAGAGCAAGCCGGGAUACUGUCGUGAAUGCUGAUCCUUAUUAUUACCAGAGUGAAAAGAAGCUGUAGAGGGAACAAGUGGCAUUGGAGGAAGGUUGAGCUACAAACACAAAAAGAAACGUUUCAAACUGUGAUGUUUCUCCUGCCAUCUGCAAGGUUCAGCAAGCAUGCCUACAGCACUGCCCUUGGAAAGUCAGUCCCCUGACUUUCACCUACAGUCCCAC
rnacentral:lncRNA from 1 species